rnacentral:rRNA from 2 species
UACAGAGGGUGCGAGCGUUGUCCGGAAUCACUGGGCGUAAAGGGCGCGUAGGUGGCGCCGCAAGUCCAUGGUGAAAGCUCGAUGCUCAACAUCGAGUCGGCCACGGAGACUGCGGGGCUCGAGCACUGUAGGGGCAGAUGGAAUUCCGGGUGUAGCGGUGGAAUGCGUAGAGAUCCGGAAGAACACCGGUGGCGAAGGCGGUCUGCUGGGCAGUUGCUGACACUGAGGCGCGACAGCGUGGGGAGCAAACAGG